rnacentral:rRNA from 1 species
GACGAACGCUGGCGGCGUGCUUAACACAUGCAAGUCGAACGGAAAGGCCCUGCUUUUGUGGGGUGCUCGAGUGGCGAACGGGUGAGUAACACGUGAGUAACCUGCCCUUGACUUUGGGAUAACUUCAGGAAACUGGGGCUAAUACCGGAUAGGAGCUCCUGCUGCAGGGUGGGGGUUGGAAAGUUUCGGCGGUUGGGGAUGGACUCGCGGCUUAUCAGCUUGUUGGUGGGGUAGUGGCUUACCAAGGCUUUGACGGGUAGCCGGCCUGAGAGGGUGACCGGCCACAUUGGGACUGAGAUACGGCCCAGACUCCUACGGUAGGCAGCAGUGGGGAAUAUUGCCCAAUGGGCGGAAGCCUGAUGCAGCAACGCCGCGUGCGGGAUGACGGCCUUCGGGUUGUAAACCGCUUUCGCCUGUGACGAAGCGUGAGUGACGGUAAUGGGUAAAGAAGCACCGGCUAACUACGUG